rnacentral:rRNA from 1 species
GUGCCAGCAGCCGCGGUAAAACGUAGGUGGCGAGCGUUAUCCGGAUUUACUGGGCGUAAAGCGUGUGCAGGCGGGAUGACAAGUGGUGUAUGAAAUAUCCCGGCUUAACCGGGAAGGGUUAUGCCAGACUGUCAUUCUAGAGUGCGAGAGAGGGGCGUGGAAUUCCGGGUGUAGUGGUGAAAUGCGUAGAGAUCCGGAGGAACCCCAGAGGCGAAGGCGGCGCCCUGGCUCGCAACUGACGCUCAGACACGACAGCAUGGGGAGCGAACGGGAUUAGAAACCCUCGUAGUCC